rnacentral:rRNA from 1 species
UACGAAGGGUGCAAGCGUUAAUCGGAAUUACUGGGCGUAAAGGGUGCGUAGGCGGUUCGUUAAGUCUGUCGUGAAAUCCCCGGGCUCAACCUGGGAAUGGCGAUGGAUACUGGCGAGCUAGAGUGUGUCAGAGGAUGGUGGAAUUCCCGGUGUAGCGGUGAAAUGCGUAGAGAUCGGGAGGAACAUCAGUGGCGAAGGCGGCCAUCUGGGACAACACUGACGCUGAAGCACGAAAGCUAGGGGAGCAAACAGG